UACGUAGGGUGCAAGCGUUUGUCCGGAAUUAUUGGGCGUAAAGAGCUCGUAGGCGGUCUGUCGCGUCGGAUGUGAAAAUCCAGGGCUUAACCCUGGGCCUGCAUUCGAUACGGGCAGACUAGAGUUCGGUAGGGGAGACUGGAAUUCCUGGUGUAGCGGUGAAAUGCGCAGAUAUCAGGAGGAACACCGGUGGCGAAGGCGGGUCUCUGGGCAGUAACUGACGCUGAGGAGCGAAAGCGUGGGGAGCGAACAGG
rnacentral:rRNA from 1 species